rnacentral:rRNA from 1 species
ACAUCCAGCGAACUUGGCAGAGAUGCCUUGGUGCCUUCGGGAACGCUGAGACAGGUGCUGCAUGGCUGUCGUCAGCUCGUGUUGUGAAAUGUUGGGUUAAGUCCCGNAACGAGCGCAACCCUUUAUCCUUUGUUGCCAGCGAUUCGGUCGGGAACUCAAAGGAGACUGCCGGUGAUAAACCGGAGGAAGGUGGGGAUGACGUCAAGUCAUCAUGGCCCUUACGAGUAGGGCUACACACGUGCUACAAUGGCGCAUACAAAGAGAAGCGACCUCGCGAGAGCAAGCGGACCUCAUAAAGUGCGUCGUAGUCCGGAUCGGAGUCUGCAACUCGACUCCGUGAAGUCGGAAUCGCUAGUAAUCGUGGAUCAGAAUGCCACGGUGAAUACGUUCCCGGGCCUUGUACACACCGCCCGUCACACCAUGGGAGUGGGUUGCAAAAGAAGUAGGUAGCUUAACCCUCGGGAGGGGCGCUUACCACUUUGUGAUUCAUGACUGGGGUGAAGUCGUAACAAGGUAGGCGUAGUGCU